rnacentral:lncRNA from 1 species
AUGACCCGGUGUUGUGAGCUGGUCACAGUGACCUCAGGAGCAGGAGGUUCUACCUUGCGUUGUUCCUCGUCCCUCAGAUCACUCAGCUGUUUCUCCAACGCCUCGUCUCUCUUUUGCAGCGACUCCUUCUGUUCCUGCAGCUGCUUGUUCUCGCUCUCCAGCUCCUCCUUCAGGUUCUGCAGGUCCUUAGGUUCUGUCUUCGCUUCCUCCUCCAGCUGCUCAUCCUCAUCUUUGGCCCUUUCAUUUUCAGGCUGGAGAAAAUAUCAAAUGAAAGAUAAAGACAUGAUUUUAGAGAGAAGUAGAGUUAGUCAGAACCAGUUUAAAUAA